UCCGAGGGUGAACACUGCGUAAUUUACAACCGGCGCGUGUAUAAUAAUAUUAUACACUUAAAAACUUAAAAUAUGAUUCGGAUACGGGAUUAUAACAGCAGCAAAAGGAGCGCUUUAACAAAUUAUGCACAUGGUAACAGAAUUGAACGCGUCACUUAAAUGUUGUACAAUUUAACAUGUCAAGCGCGCAUUAUUACGAAAUCCUGUUGAAAUACUUCAUUAAAUCGCUGGCAUGUGAAUUCGAUUUCUAUAGACUCGUCGGCUGGACACAAACACAUCGGUUGCAUUAAUCCACAUCAAGUUCAAAGAAAUUGUUAUUAUUUAUCAUACAGCCAUUCAGUUAAAUAUUGUUGAUAUGACCUUGUGCUUCCUCAACAAUGCAUAGAGUCAUCUUACAUGGUCAAUUUAGGAUUUUCAGAUAUUAAUCACGCGAACAAAGAAUAUACAAAUCUUCAGGAAUACGUUAGCAGCGAACACCGCUGUAAUAAAAUACGGAAAAUCCCACGUCGCGCGGGGAAACGCAACACUAGAACUGAAAAAAUUGAACCAUCGGACAGCGGACAGUAAUAUUAUUAAGCACUCGAUUUUGGUACGUCACAGUGACUUCACUCGGCUCGCGCGUUAACCGGACCACGCGCGAUAUCGCUGCGUCGAGCUCACCU